CCAGACUCCUACGGGAGGCAGCAGUGGGGAAUAUUGGACAAUGGGGGGAACCCUGAUGCAGCGACGCCGCGUGGGCGAAGAAGUAUUUCGGUAUGUAAAGCCCUAUCAGCAGGGAAGAAGAAAUGACGGUACCUGAGUAAGAAGCACCGGCUAAAUACGUGCCAGCAGCCGCGGUAAUACGUAUGGUGCAAGCGUUAUCCGGAUUUACUGGGUGUAAAGGGAGCGCAGGCGGCACGGCAAGCCUGAUGUGAAAGCCCGCGGCCCAACCGCGGGACUGCAUUGGGAACUACCGGGCUGGAGUGCCGGAGAGGUAGGCGGAAUUCCUAGUGUAGCGGUGAAAUGCGUAGAUAUUAGGAGGAACACCAGUGGCGAAGGCGGCCUGCUGGACGAUAACUGACGUUGAGGCUCGAAAGCGUGGGGAGCAAACAGGAUUAGAUACCCCGGUAU
rnacentral:rRNA from 1 species